CAAGCAGCGGAGCAUGUGGUUUAAUUCGAAGCAACGCGAAGAACCUUACCUAGACUUGACAUCUCCUGCAUUACCCUUAAUCGGGGAAGUUCCUUCGGGAACAGGAAGACAGGUGGUGCAUGGUUGUCGUCAGCUCGUGUCGUGAGAUGUUGGGUUAAGUCCCGCAACGAGCGCAACCCUUAUUGUUAGUUGCUACCAUUUAGUUGAGCACUCUAGCGAGACUGCCCGGGUUAACCGGGAGGAAGGUGGGGAUGACGUCAAAUCAUCAUGCCCCUUAUGUCUAGGGCUACACACGUGCUACAAUGGCAAGUACAAAGAGAAGCAAGACCGCGAGGUGGAGCAAAACUCAAAAACUUGUCUCAGUUCGGAUUGUAGGCUGAAACUCGCCUACAUGAAGCUGGAGUUGCUAGUAAUCGCGAAUCAGCAUGUCGCGGUGAAUACGUUCCCGGGGCCUUGUACACACC
rnacentral:rRNA from 1 species